rfam:Gossypium arboreum cultivar AKA8401 contig_87889_1, whole genome shotgun sequence.
AGCCCAUGGUGAGCGCAUCUUCUCAAGAGGUCCUUGUAUCUCUCUCAUGCAUCAUAGAGUGUCUCUAGAUCCAUCUGCAUAAAAGAAGAGAUAUCAUUCCUCAAUUU